rnacentral:tRNA from 1 species
UCCCCGGUGGCUCAGAGGUUAAAGCAUCUGCCUGCAAUGCGGGAGACCUGGGUUUGAUCCCUGGGUCGGGAA